rnacentral:tRNA from 1 species
GGAAGGUUGGCAGAGUGGUUUAAUGCACCGGUCUUGAAAACCGGCGGGGUUGCGAGACCCCCCAGGGUUCGAAUCCCUGACCUUCCACCA